GGUUAAGCGACUAAGCGUACACGGUGGAUGCCCUGGCAGUCAGAGGCGAUGAAGGACGUGCUAAUCUGCGAAAAGCGUCGGUAAGGUGAUAUGAACCGUUACAGCCGGCGAUGUCCGAAUGGGGAAACCCAGUGCAAUUCGUUGCACUAUCGUUAACUGAAUACAUAGGUUAACGAGGCGAACCGGGGGAACUGAAACAUCUAAGUACCCCGAGGAAAAGAAAUCAACCGAGAUUCCCCCAGUAGCGGCGAGCGAACGGGGAGCAGCCCAGAGUCUGAAUCAGCUUGUGUGUUAGUGGAACGGUCUGGAAAGUCCGACGGUACAGGGUGAUAGUCCCGUACACCAAAAUGCACAGGCUGUGAACUCGAAGAGUAGGGCGGGACACGUGGUAUCCUGUCUGAAUA
rnacentral:rRNA from 1 species